GAUGAACGCUGGCGGCGUGCCUAAUACAUGCAAGUCGAGCGAACGGACGAGAAGCUUGCUUUUCUGAUGUUAGCGGCGGACGGGUGAGUAACACGUGGAUAACCUACCUAUAAGACUGGGAUAACUUCGGGAAACCGGAGCUAAUACCGGAUAAUAUUUUGAACCGCAUGGUUCAAAAGUGAAAGACGGUCUUGCUGUCACUUAUAGAUGGAUCCGCGCUGCAUUAGCUAGUUGGUAAGGUAACGGCUUACCAAGGCAACGAUGCAUAGCCGACCUGAGAGGGUGAUCGGCCACACUGGAACUGAGACACGGUCCAGACUCCUACGGGAGGCAGCAGUAGGGAAUCUUCCGCAAUGGGCGAAAGCCUGACGGAGCAACGCCGCGUGAGUGAUGAAGGUCUUCGGAUCGUAAAGCUCUGUUAUUAGGGAAGAACAUAUGUGUAAGUAACUGUGGACAUCUUGACGGUACCUAAUCAGAAAGCAACGGCUAACUACGUG
rnacentral:rRNA from 1 species